UGCAGCCAGCUCCAAUGCUCUAAGCUCCAGGCUCAACGGUUGGGUUGGUGGCUUCUUGGUAGGGCUUGCAUCUGCAUUCAAUCUCCUGGGACUCUGCAUGCUAGGUCCGUGCUUGGUGUCCCAGGCCCGCUGAGAAGCGCUGUGGAAAACUCCCCUCCGCUCCCGAGGCUAAAUAUGCGCGGCUUGUCAUUCGGUGUAGCUGUCUCCCAGCUGAUAGGGUGACGUCGAGUUUGGAGGCUUGGAGAUUGGCUUUUUGAUUUGGCUCCUUGCGGAGGCUUAAUGGGCAAAGCUCUAGGCUCACCCAGAAACCAGCCCCUACGCUCGUCCCCUCUGAGCGCGGCGAGGCCGAGACGUCUCCGGUGGUGACAGUGGGCAAGGCUGAGCCGCGCGCUCCCAGCCCGGGGAAAGCCCGGGCGUCGCGGCAGCCAGCCCCCGCCGGGGUCCCUCCGAGCCGCCAGGGCGCGCCGCGCUGCUCUCCGUCCCACCCCUCCCAUAGGGAUCCCCAGGCGACCGCGGCCGGGACUCCGGGCCUUGCUUGGGCCACUCGGGCAGUCUCUGCUCCUUGGCUGGACGCCGCCGAGGGUCUGUACAACGCUCCCUGCGCCCUGGCCCCAGCGAUCCUGCUCCAGAUGCGCUGCCUGGUAGCCCCCUGACAGCUGCUAGCCCACAGCUCCGGGCGGCAGCCGCGGCGGACUGCCAUGCCCUGGACGCCGCUGCAGCCGGCCCGCAGCCCGCGGGGGCGAUGAGCCGCUGCGGCCCGUGAGGAGCUGGGCGGCGCGGGCAUCGUGCACCUUCCUAGCCCGCCUCACUUGCCCAUCGAGCUCUGGAGGCUGAGGGGAAUCGGUCACAGGCCUGUCAGGAGGACCAUUGGUGCUGUGGUGGAGCCAGAACCUAAGUCUUGUGUAUGGCGUGGUUACGGCUGCAGCCUCUCACCUCUGCCUUCCUCCAUUUUGGGCUGGUUACUUUUGUGCUCUUCCUGAAUUGUCUUCGAGCAGAGGCUGGUGACUCGGGGGAUGUGCCCAGUGCAGGGCAGAACAAUGAGUCCUGUUCGGGGUCAUCAGACUGCAAGGAGGGUGUCAUUUUGCCAAUCUGGUAUCCAGAGAACCCUUCCCUUGGGGACAAGAUUGCCAGGGUCAUUGUCUAUUUUGUGGCCCUGAUAUACAUGUUUCUUGGGGUGUCUAUCAUUGCUGACCGAUUCAUGGCAUCUAUUGAAGUCAUUACUUCCCAAGAGAGGGAAGUGACCAUCAAGAAGCCCAAUGGAGAGACCAGCACAACUACAAUUCGGGUAUGGAAUGAAACUGUCUCCAAUCUGACCCUGAUGGCCCUGGGCUCUUCUGCUCCAGAGAUUCUCCUGUCUUUAAUUGAGGUGUGUGGUCACGGGUUCAUUGCUGGUGAUCUGGGACCAUCUACCAUCGUUGGCAGUGCAGCCUUCAACAUGUUCAUCAUCAUUGGCAUCUGUGUCUAUGUGAUCCCAGAUGGGGAGACUCGAAAGAUCAAGCACCUGCGAGUCUUCUUCGUCACGGCUGCUUGGAGCAUCUUCGCCUACAUUUGGCUCUAUAUGAUCCUGGCAGUCUUCUCUCCUGGUGUGGUCCAGGUUUGGGAAGGCCUCCUUACUCUCUUCUUCUUUCCCGUGUGUGUCCUGCUGGCUUGGGUGGCAGAUAAGCGACUGCUCUUCUACAAAUACAUGCACAAAAAAUACCGCACAGAUAAACACCGAGGAAUUAUCAUUGAGACAGAGGGUGACCACCCUAAGGGCAUUGAGAUGGAUGGGAAAAUGAUGAAUUCUCACUUUCUAGAUGGGAACUUUACACCUUUGGAAGGAAAGGAGGUAGAUGAAUCUCGCAGGGAAAUGAUCCGGAUUCUAAAGGAUCUGAAACAAAAACACCCAGAAAAGGACCUAGAUCAGCUGGUGGAGAUGGCCAAUUACUAUGCUCUUUCCCAUCAACAGAAGAGCCGUGCUUUCUACCGCAUCCAAGCCACCCGGAUGAUGACUGGUGCGGGCAAUAUACUUAAGAAGCAUGCAGCCGAGCAAGCCAAGAAGACCUCCAGCAUGAGCGAGGUGCAUACCGAUGAGCCGGAGGACUUUGCCUCUAAGGUCUUCUUUGACCCAUGUUCUUAUCAGUGCCUGGAGAACUGUGGAGCUGUCCUCCUGACCGUGGUGAGGAAAGGGGGAGAUAUAUCCAAGACCAUGUACGUGGACUACAAAACAGAGGACGGCUCCGCCAAUGCAGGGGCAGACUAUGAGUUCACAGAGGGCACUGUGGUUCUGAAGCCAGGAGAGACCCAGAAGGAGUUCUCUGUGGGCAUCAUUGAUGAUGACAUUUUUGAGGAGGAUGAACACUUCUUUGUGAGGCUGAGCAAUGUCCGUGUAGAAGAGGAGCAGCUGGCGGAGGGGAUGCUCCCAGCAAUACUCAAUAGUCUUCCUUUGCCUCGGGCUGUCCUGGCCUCCCCUUGUGUGGCCACAGUAACCAUCUUGGAUGAUGACCAUGCAGGAAUUUUCACUUUUGAAUGUGAUACCAUUCAUGUCAGUGAAAGUAUUGGUGUUAUGGAAGUCAAGGUUUUGAGGACAUCAGGUGCCAGGGGCACAGUCAUCGUCCCUUUUAGGACAGUAGAAGGGACAGCCAAGGGUGGUGGCGAGGACUUUGAAGAUGCAUAUGGGGAGCUGGAGUUCAAGAAUGAUGAAACAGUCAAAACAAUUCACAUCAAGGUAAUUGAUGAUAAGGCGUAUGAGAAAAACAAGAAUUACGUCAUUGAGAUGAUGGGCCCCCGCAUGGUGGAUAUGAGUGUUCAGAAAGGAAAACCAUAAGGGUUAAAAUAGUAGAUGAGGAGGAGUACGAGAGGCAAGAGAAUUUCUUCAUUGCCCUUGGUGAACCGAAAUGGAUGGAACGUGGAAUAUCAGAAGUGACAGACAGGAAGCUGACUGUGGAGGAAGAGGAAGCCAAGAGAAUAGCAGAGAUGGGAAAGCCAGUAUUGGGUGAACACCCCAAACUAGAGGUCAUCAUUGAAGAGUCCUAUGAGUUCAAGAGUACAGUGGAUAAGCUGAUCAAGAAGACAAACCUGGCAUUGGUUGUGGGGACCCAUUCCUGGAGGGACCAGUUCAUGGAAGCCAUCACUGUUAGUGCAGGAGGGGAUGAGGAUGAAGACGAAUCUGGAGAGGAGAGGCUGCCAUCCUGCUUUGACUACGUCAUGCACUUCCUGACGGUCUUCUGGAAGGUGCUCUUUGCCUGUGUGCCCCCCACAGAGUACUGCCACGGCUGGGCCUGCUUCGUGGUCUCCAUCCUCAUUAUUGGCAUGCUCACCGCCAUCAUCGGGGACCUGGCCUCUCACUUCGGCUGCACCAUCGGGCUCAAGGAUUCGGUCACAGCUGUUGUUUUUGUGGCAUUCGGCACCUCUGUGCCAGAUACAUUUGCCAGCAAAGCCGCUGCCCUGCAGGACGUGUAUGCAGAUGCUUCCAUUGGCAACGUCACAGGCAGUAAUGCCGUCAAUGUCUUCCUGGGUAUUGGUUUGGCCUGGUCCGUGGCCGCCAUCUACUGGGCCAUGCAGGGACAGGAGUUCCAUGUGUCCGCUGGCACUCUGGCCUUCUCGGUCACUCUUUUCACCAUCUUUGCAUUUGUCUGCCUCAGUGUGCUCUUGUAUCGUCGGCGGCCCCAUCUGGGCGGGGAGCUCGGAGGUCCUCGUGGCUGCAAGCUUGCCACGACAUGGCUCUUUGUGAGCCUAUGGCUCCUCUACAUACUAUUUGCCACGCUGGAGGCCUACUGCUACAUCAAGGGGUUCUGAACCGCCGGAACAAGACCGCCACAGGGCAGACCUGGGACUUCUCCUGAGAGAAGGACGCAUCCUCACCAACCUUCCCAGGUUACUCAUCCCUGGAGCAGACACAUCGGGACCCGAGCCCCAGGAACUUCACCUGACCUUGGCCCUGGCACUGCACAGAAAGGGCAAAACUUAACCAAUCCAAUAAACUGGAGAAGGCAUCCACUGUCCAAAGUAUUUAAUUAAAAACAAACCAACAACAGCAAAAAAUCCACCUCUCCCCAUCCUGCCACUCACAGCCCUGAGCGUCCCCUUCUAUCCCACCACCCAACUAUUCCUUUGACUCUAGUUCCCCACAAGGGGCAGGAUCUGCCCUGUCUCCAGCAAGAUGCAUCAAGACUCCCUCACUCAGCUGUCAGGGUAUGAGAAGGAGCCAUCUGGACAAUGGCUGCCUUGGGAUGCUCUCUUCACCUGGUCGUCAUUGUAGUCAUUUUCAUUCUCCUACCAGGUUAUUGUCUUGUCUUCUCUUCCUGAAGUUAGUGACAAAGGACCCUGAAGGAAUUCCAAAUCUGAGUGACAGACACCCUCCCACUCUCAUCAGGCCGCUGCCAUCUCUUGGCUCCAACUCAGGGCAUAGGAGGAGCUUCAUUCUUCGUGCAUUGACAUCAAAGCCAAACCACAGAGGAAUCACCUUCUUCUCAGUGGAAGCCAUUCUACGUCUCUGUGCUGCACCUGUGUGUGUGUGUGCCCUCCCACAAAGAGACUUCAGAGCAGAGAUAAGAGUGUUCCAGGCUGACCAAGGGCACCCGGGGACACACGGGGAACACCUCUCCAAUGUUUCUGAGUUUGUGUCUGAGGUGGGGGAGAAGAGGGUCUUCAACUGGGGAGGUCUCUAAGGGAGUGUGUCUCUAAGGGUCUCUUAAAGUGUCAGUGAUUGGGGGCAUGGCAGCGUCACCACCCCUCCCUGGCUGAUGUGCCAUACUCCGAGGGCUGAAGAGGUGGCUUGAAAUGAAUUUGGAGGCUUGUAAGAGAACAGGGGCUUCCUUCCCCCUCUCCUGGCCUUCAGGCCACUUUUGAAAGCAUGUUCAUUGGAUGGGGACCGGAAUCCUUCAUUUCCCCCAUGUUCCUGCUUGUUUUUAAACCGCAUAAAGCUCCCUCUUCCCAGACUGUGGGGCAUUUCUUAUGCCCUGCCCCCAAGGGAUCCAAGUCACCACAUUGCCAAAGAAUCCAGGCUUCUAGAAAACAAGAACUGACACGCUGACACCCCACCUCCCAGACCUUUCCCCUGUGUGUUUUGAAAAGACCUGGCUUUAAAUCACACACACACACACACACACACACACACACACACACACACACACUACAAAACUGCCCACGGGUCUUGAGGCUUUCUGCAUUGACAUAAAUACAUUUUCUAAGAGAGAAAGACAAAAUUAAAACGACACCUGUUUAAUUUUAAACAGAUUUUUUAAAAAGAAAAUAAAAAAUAAAACAAUGCUCGUGUCCUAAGCUGUGUUGACAGUUGCCGGUGGAAAUGUUGGGUUGGUUCAAAAAAAAAUAAUAAAAAUAAAAUAAAAGGUCUACUUAUAUGUCUCUAC